GACCUUCCCAGCCCCUCCCCUCUUCUCCCUUCCUCUCCUCCUUCUCCUUUUUCACCUGGACUCCGCCCUCACCUGUCGUACUGCCAGCCAAUCCCAGUGUGACUCCGCCCCCUUCGUCCCCGGUCACAACCUGGCAGGGGAGGGGUUUGACGUGGUGACCCUGAAACGUAAAGGGGCCUACCUGAUAGACCUGACGACCUCCGUCCCCAAACGGCUUCCUGUCCCCCAGUAAAUCCUGUACACUGUGUAGUAACCCCCUACAGGGACAACAGCUGCAGAAAAUACCCCUGUCUGUUGUAGACUGGAGGCCCUACAGCCACUGUAUUGAGGAUAUCUCCAGCCACUCUCAUGCCUCUGUCAGUAACCUGGCAGAGGCCACUGCCAACGAGAACUCUAAAGACUGGAAGGUGGAUCUGGGUCUGGAGAAGGGGGUAUCUGUUGGCAUAGAGAUGGGAGGGUCACAGUCAGAUAUAACCAGAUUUGCCAAGAAGAAGACCAGAGACAACCGCUACUCCUUCUUUUCGCAGAUUCUCCGCUGCCGCCACUACAGUUAUCGCGUGUCAGACAGCCCUGCUCUCAGCGCUGAGUUCCGGAA